rnacentral:rRNA from 1 species
GGUUAAGCGACUAAGCGUACACGGUGGAUGCCCUGGCAGUCAGAGGCGAUGAAGGACGUGCUAAUCUGCGAUAAGCGUCGGUAAGGUGAUAUGAACCGUUAUAACCGGCGAUUUCCGAAUGGGGAAACCCAGUGUGAUUCGUCACACUAUCAUUAACUGAAUCCAUAGGUUAAUGAGGCGAACCGGGGGAACUGAAACAUCUAAGUACCCCGAGGAAAAGAAAUCAACCGAGAUUCCCCCAGUAGCGGCGAGCGAACGGGGAGCAGCCCAGAGCCUGAAUCAGUAUGUGUGUUAGUGGAAGCGUCUGGAAAGGCGCGCGAUACAGGGUGACAGCCCCGUACACAAAAAUGCACAUGCUGUGAGCUCGAUGAGUAGGGCGGGACACGUGGUAUCCUGUCUGAAUAUGGGGGGACCAUCCUCCAAGGCUAAAUACUCCUGACUGACCGAUAGUGAACCAGUACCGUGAGGGAAAGGCGAAAAGAACCCCGGCGAGGGGAGUGAAAAAGAACCUGAAACCGUGUACGUACAAGCAGUGGGAGCACGCUUAGGCGUGUGACUGCGUACCUUUUGUAUAAUGGGUCAGCGACUUAUAUUCUGUAGCAAGGUUAACCGAAUAGGGGAGCCGAAGGGAAACCGAGUCUUAACUGGGCGUUAAGUUGCAGGGUAUAGACCCGAAACCCGGUGAUCUAGCCAUGGGCAGGUUGAAGGUUGGGUAACACUAACUGGAGGACCGAACCGACUAAUGUUGAAAAAUUAGCGGAUGACUUGUGGCUGGGGGUGAAAGGCCAAUCAAACCGGGAGAUAGCUGGUUCUCCCCGAAAGCUAUUUAGGUAGCGCCUCGUGAAUUCAUCUCCGGGGGUAGAGCAC